UUAAUGGAUUGGUGAGGCAGCUGAUGCAGAGCCAGGGUGCAAUCUUUGGCUGGGCUCCAAGCAAAAGGAAUAGCCUGUGGAGGAUGAACUUGAACUCAUGAUCACUGCAGCUCUGUUUCUGCUCAGACUUUUCACUUCAACCUCGUGGCCUGCGUUUCGCUCCGAGGGUUACUUGCUUCCUCUCGACAUAUUUUAUUUUGAUGCCAACAUUUCUGAUCUGUUUUCUUAAGAGCAAGAGGUCUUGAUCCCAAAGCCCGGGCCAUCACACAGGUCUCUGUGGAGUGGGGUGAGGGAGGCCAGCUGCUGGUCACCUCCCCCUCCCACACUGUGGGGGGCCUUCGUGGAAAAGCUCUGAGCCCUGCUGCUCCUGGGAGGUGACAGCAGCUAAGCGGCUUCUGUCCCAGUCCCAUCCCAUCAUCCAUCCAAGGCGAAACCCUACCAAGAGGUCAGGAGGGCAGGGGGAGGGGAGGAAAUGCCAAUCAGUCCAUCAAAGCCCCACCCUCCCAUGGCUUCUAGCUUGAGCGGGACCUGAGGACCCUUGGCCCACCCCCAGGGGCCGAGGGCAGGGCAAACAGGGGAAGUGCAUUUGGUAAUGAUUCUAGAUUUCCUGUUUGGUUUCUGCCCAGGGGGCUUUGGGAUAUGCUAACUUGUAUUAUGUGUGUAUACAUGCGUGUUU
rnacentral:lncRNA from 1 species